rnacentral:tRNA from 1 species
GGGGCUGGGGCUCAGCAGUAGAGCGCUCCCCUAGCAUGUGUGAGAUCCUGGGUUCGAUUCUCAGCACCCCUU